rnacentral:rRNA from 1 species
GACGAACGCUGGCGGCGUGCUUAACACAUGCAAGUCGAACGGUGAAGCGCCUUCCUUUUUGGUGGGUGUGGAUGAGUGGCGAACGGGUGAGUAACACGUGAGUAACCUGCCCCCUUCUUCUGGAUAACCGCAUGAAAGUGUGGCUAAUACGGGAUAUUCUGGGUCUGUCGCAUGAUGGGUCCGGGAAAGAUAUUGUUUCGGUGGGGGAUGGGCUCGCGGCCUAUCAGCUUGUUGGUGGGGUGAUGGCCUACCAAGGCGGUGACGGGUAGCCGGCCUGAGAGGGUGGACGGUCACACUGGGACUGAGACACGGCCCAGACUCCUACGGGAGGCAGCAGUGGGGAAUACUGCACAAUGGGCGCAAGCCUGAUGCAGCGACGCCGCGUGAGGGAUGGAGGCCUUCGGGUUGUGAACCUCUUUCGCCAGUGAAGCAGGCCUGCCUCGUUUGUGGGUGGGUUGACGGUAGCUGGAUAAGAAGCGCCGGCUAACUACGU